AUUUAUAUAGUUUAUUAAAACAUUACAUUUUCAUUGUAAAAAUAAAAUAUAUUAUUUUUGUAAAUA
rnacentral:tRNA from 1 species